GCCAAAUAGCAUAAUAGCAAGGAACUCAAAAUCCCGCGCCGCAAGGCGUGCCGGUUCGAUUCCGGCUCCCGGCACCA
rnacentral:tRNA from 1 species